rnacentral:rRNA from 1 species
GUUUGGGAAUGCAGCUCAAAGUGGGUGGUAAAUUCCAUCUAAGGCUAAAUAUAAGUGAGAGACCGAUAGCAAACAAGUACCGUGAGGGAAAGAUGAAAAGAACUUUGAAAAUAGAGUUAACAGUACGUGAAAUUGCUGAAAGGGAAACGUUUGAAGUUAGUAUUGUAUUCGUUGGAUCAGCUUCGCAAGGAGUGUAUUCCGAUGAUAAGCAAGUCAACAUCAGUCUAUGAGUGUUGGAGAAGGGUUUUGAGAAUGUAGCAAUUUAAUUGUGUUAUAGCUNGAGACUUGGAUACGACGCUCUUGAUUGAGGAACGCGUAGUAAGCUUUGAGCAGGUUCGAAAGGAUCUCCUUACUAUGGAUGUUGGUGAAAUAACUUUAAGCGACCCGUCUUGAAACACGGACCAAGGAGUCUAACAUGCUUGCGAGUAUUAGGGCGUUGAAACCCGAAUGCGUAAUGAAAGUAAUUUCAGAUGUGAUCCGCAAGGUGCAACAUCGACCGGUCCUGAUUAUUUAUAUGACGGUACUGAGUAAGAGCAAGUAUGUUAGGACCCGAAAGAUGGUGAACUAUGCCUGGAUAGGG